CCCUGUGAAUGUGUCCAGAAACCUCAAAAUCGUUUUUGGAGACACGGCAGCAGAUUUGGUUUUUCUCAGAGCACCUCUGCAGCUGCUGAAUGCUUGCAGGCACAGGGGUCUCCUGCUUCUCAGACUUUUCCACUACUCCCUUUUCUCCUUGUGAAGAAGGUGCUUUACUUCCCCCUUGCCUUCCACCAUGGUUAUAAGUUUCCUGAGGCCUCCCCAGCCAUGCAGAACAGGAGUUGCAACAAUCUUCCUAGGAGUUGAGGAAGAGGAUCUAACAUGAGAACACAGAAAAGGCA